rnacentral:lncRNA from 1 species
GGAAGUGGUAGUGGUAGCAAAAAGCGAAUUACUAGCGGUAGAGGUACUUCAAGUACUAGAUAUACCCGUGUGUCUUCGCCUCCGGUACCACUUAGUCAACCUUUUGAGGAAGAAAUAGGUGUAGGUGCUCACGAUAUGGAUUAUUUAGAAGUUCAGGAAAAUUACGGUAUAGAAGAAGAAAAUGAAGUAGAUGCGGUUGAUUUAGAUGAAGAUGAUGAAAAUAUUGGUGAGACACCCGAAGUAGGAAAUGCUAAUGUUAGAUCCGAAUCAGUUAAUCUCCCUCUCCGUCCUCCCCGUGCCCCAAGAGCUCGUAAACAAACUAGUGUUGCAUGGAAAUUUUUUGAAUGUAUAUCAGAUACUGAGGUGUAAUGCAAUAUUUGUCAAAAAAUAUGUAAGCAUAAAAGAGGAGGCAAACAAGGGGGUAUGAGUACGUUAAUG